GCUACAUUUCUGUAUGGAUCAUUGAACUCCCACGCUUACAGGAGUUUUCAUAAUUAUCCAUUUCAUUUCAAUUAACUCAGCCUACGUUACAGGCCUCAUUUCUUUGUUAUGACCAUGACACAUAAGACUUUAAUUCCUUUUCAUGCAUACUCGGGUUGAAUCACACGUACUGAUCCUACCAAUCAUACGUUUCCUACACAGUAAUAUACACAUAUAUAUAACCUACAUUUUAUGUUUCCUUUACACACCAUUAUUAUAUAACACAUAU